rnacentral:SRP_RNA from 13 species
CGGCUUCGACCCCCUCGGUCUGGGCAAGGAACCCGCGAACCUUGCCAGGUUCCAGGAAGCCGAGAUCAUCCACUCCAGGUGGGCGAUGCUGGGCGUCGCGGGCGCCGCGGGGCAAGAAGCCAUCACCGGCGUG